AACGUAGGACGCAAGCGUUAUCCGGAGUUACUGGGCGUAAAGCGCGGGCAGGCGGUUGGUCAAGUCUGAUGUGAAAUCUCCUCGCUCAACGGGGAGCAGCCAUUGGAAACUGGGCAACUGGAGUCUGGCAGAGGUAGGCGGAAUUCCGGGUGGAGUGGUGAAAUGCGUAGAGAUCCGGAGGAACACCAGAGGCGAAGGCGGCUACCUGGACAAUUGCUGACGCUCAGGCACGAAAGCGUGGGGAGCAAAAGGG
rnacentral:rRNA from 1 species